rnacentral:rRNA from 1 species
UACGUAGGGUGCAAGCGUUGUCUGGAAUUAUUGGGCGUAAAGAGCUCGUAGGCGGUUUGUCGCGUCGAAUGUGAAAACCCGGGGCUCAACUCCGGGCCUGCAUUCGAUACGGGCAGACUAGAGUUCGGUAGGGGAGACUGGAAUUCCUGGUGUAGCGGUGAAAUGCGCAGAUAUCAGGAGGAACACCGGUGGCGAAGGCGGGUCUCUGGGCCGAUACUGACGCUGAGGAGCGAAAGCGUGGGGAGCAAACAGG